AUUGAACGCUCGCGGGAUGCUUUACACAUGCAAGUCGAACGGCAGCACGAAAAGAGCUUGCUCUUUUUGGUGGCGAGUGGCGAACGGGUGAGUAAUGUAUCGGAACGUACCCAGUAGCGGGGGAUAACUACGCGAAAGCGUGGCUAAUACCGCAUACGCCCUACGGGGGAAAGGGGGGGAUCGCAAGACCUCUCACUAUUGGAGCGGCCGAUAUCGGAUUAGCUAGUUGGUGGGGUAAAGGCUCACCAAGCAACGAUCCGUAGCUGGUUUGAGAGGACGACCAGCCACACUGGGACUGAGACACGGCCCAGACUCCUACGGGAGGCAGCAGUGGGGAAUUUUGGACAAUGGGGGAAACCCUGAUCCAGCCAUCCCGCGUGUGCGAUGAAGGCCUUCGGGUUGUAAAGCACUUUUGGCAGGGAAGAAACGGCGCUGACUAAUACUUGGCGCAACUGACGGUACCUGCAGAAUAAGCACCGGCUAACUACGUG
rnacentral:rRNA from 1 species